rnacentral:rRNA from 3 species
CAAAUGGAGAGUUUGAUCCUGGCUCAGGAUGAACGCUGGCGGCAUGCCUAAUACAUGCAAGUCGAACGGUAUCUUUGGAUACAGUGGCGAACGGGUGAGUAACACGUAGGGAACCUGGCCAUACCUGGGGGAUAAUUUCUGGAAACGGAAACUAAUACCGCAUGGGUUUUGCUUAAGCCUUUAAGCGAAAUGAAAGAAGCGCGAGACGCUUCGGGGAUGGAUGGUCCUGCGCUGCAUUAGCUGGCUGGUGAGGCAACGGCUCACCAGGGCGAUGAUGCAUAGCCGGCCUGAGAGGGCGGACGGCCACACUGGGACUGAGACACGGCCCAGACUCCUGCGGGAGGCAGCAGUAGGGAAUUUUCGUCAAUGGGGGCAACCCUGAACGAGCAAUGCCGCGUGAGCGAAGAAGGUCUUCGGAUUGUAAAGCUCUGUUGCCGGGGAAAAAGGAAGGAAAGAGGAAAUGCUUUUCUUUGGAUGGUACCCGGCCAGAAAGUCACGGCUAACUACGUGCCAGCAGCCGCGGUAAUACGUAGGUGGCAAGCGUUAUCCGGAAUGAUUGGGCGUAAAGGGUGAGCAGGCGGUUCUUCAAGUCAUGAGUGAAAGGCAGAAGCUUAACUUCUGUUGGCUGAUGAGACUGGAGAACUUGAGUACAGGAGAGGGCGGCGGAACUCCAUGUGUAGCGGUAAAAUGCGUAGAGAUAUGGAAGAACACCAGUGGCGAAGGCGGCCGCCUGGACUGAAACUGACGCUCAGGCACGAAAGCGUGGGGAGCAAAUAGGAUUAGAUACCCUAGUAGUCCACGCCGUAAACGAUGAGGAGCAGGUGUCGCAAUGAAAUGCGGUGCCGAAGCCAACGCAAUGACUCCUCCGCCUGGGGAGUAUGCACGCAAGUGUGAAACUCAAAGGAAUUGACGGGGGCCCGCACAAGCGGUGGAGUAUGUGGUUUAAUUCGAAGCAACGCGAAGAACCUUACCAGGCCUUGACAUGGGAAGCGAAGGCUUAGAGAUAAGCUGGAGGUUAUCUUCCACACAGGUGGUGCAUGGUUGUCGUCAGCUCGUGUCGUGAGAUGUUCAGUUAAGUCUGGCAACGAGCGCAACCCUUAUGAUAUGUUGCUAACAUUGAGUUGAGGACUCAUAUCAGACUGCCGGUGACAAACCGGAGGAAGGCGGGGAUGACGUCAAAUCAUCAUGCCCCUUAUGGCCUGGGCUACACACGUACUACAAUGGCGUCUACAGCGCGAAGCAAACCAGUGAUGGCAAGCGAACCGUCAAAAGGCGUCUUAGUUCGGAUUGAAGCCUGCAACCCGGCUUCAUGAAGGCGGAAUCGCUAGUAAUCGCGGAUCAGCAUGCCGCGGUGAAUACGUUCCCGGGCCUUGUACACACCGCCCGUCAAACCAUGGAAGCCGGCAACGCCCGAAGCCGGCGGCAUAACCCGCAAGGGAGUGAGCCGUCGAAGGCGGGGCCGACGACUGGGGUUAAGUCGUAACAAGGUAUCCCUACGGGAACGUGGGGAUGGAUCACCUCCUUUCUAAGGAG